UACAUUUAAAGAUAGCACGUUUUGGUGAUUUUUAACUAUUUUUUUUUGCAUGUGAAGCCCCAAGCCCUGGAUCUGUUAAGCCCUUGUAUUGUUAAAGACUUUUUACAAAGAAAUACAGUCAUAACAUACUCUUUACAGCAUGUCGCCUUGAAAUAAAAUGGUAUAUGUAUCCAUUUUUAUACCGGUUUGUUGAAAUUUUGCUAAAUUUCUUAUUAUCUUUACACUGUAAAGCAUUUUGAAACAUUUCCUGAAUGUUGAUAGCCAAAGGGUAUAUUUGGCUUACUCUCCUAUAGGAUGAGAGACUUUUCAAAAUGGCAGAUGCAUGGACUGUAUUUUGCAUGUUUAAAAUAAUUAUAAUAAAAAUAACCUUACACUGUUUUUGCAGUUGUUAUCUAUAAUCUCUCCCUGCUGAGAAUGGUCUCUCUCUACUAAAUACAUUUAUGUACCUAGAGGUAGUCUUUUCUGAAGUGGGCCUGGGUCAUUUGUCCCAGUCCCCUUCUUUACACACUCCCAUAGACACAAAUUCCCCGAGAAUCUUGUUCUAAUGGAGUUUGCUAAUGCCGGGCUUGAGGUUCUGCACGUCUCCCAAGGUCCUCAGUGAUGCUAACCCAUUUCUUGCACUGCACUAGGACUAAUGAGGUUCUGAACUUGAGGCUUUCGCCACAGAGAUCACGCCAAACAGAGCAGCUCCUAGCCUGCUUGCCCACAGCACCUCUUCUGCCCCCAAUAGCUUAGAGGACCAGCCUGGCCCGUCUCUGGGAUGAGACUAGAAAGUUAGGAGACUGAUUCCAGAAGCUGUCCACCACACAUCAGCCUCCCGGCUUUAUAGCCCCGCCUCUUCCUCAUCCAGACUGAGGAGCACUCCUUCCAGCUUGCUCCCGAUUGGCUAAAAGAGGCACCACAGCUUGCUGCGUGGGUGGGUCCAAUUUUAUGUCAGUUCCUAGAAAUUAUCUCCCAGGAUUCCUCCCUUGGACUUUGAGUGGAAUCUUGAUCAUGCCAAAUAGCAAUAUGGCUGCCCAACUUUCUGUUCUAAUCACUUGGUCUUUGAGCUCACUGUGGGGGCACCUUUUGGCCUCUUUUGUAUCACUCCUGAGUACAAUUUCCAUAAGCAGAAGUGCCCUGGAAUUGUGUAGGAUGGGGACAUUUUGUCUGAAUCUAAGGAAGUCUUAAAACCAAAACAACGACUUCUUUUCUUAUGAUCUUCUCUCGGAGAAAUGGACAAAUGUUUUAUAAGCUGUAAAAGGCACAAAAUGAAACUUAUUUUUGGUCAGAAAAAUAGUGAAGUGUAUCCUAAGCAAAAAAAAAUCUGUUGUUGGGGAAGUUUUUGGUUCUGUUUUUUUUUUUGUUUUUUUGUUUGUUUUAAAGGGGAAACAAUAAUAAUUAAUUAAGCAAAUCAAAUGUCUUGUACAAUUUCCAGAGUUAUAAUUAUAGAUUAUCUUGCAAAUACAUGUCAACCAAAUGCAUAACAUUUUGGGAAUGAUGGUUUAAAACAAAUGUAUGACAGAAAAAAAGUCACAAAUGUUUAAAUUGUAUUGUUUUCUGAAUAAAUUGGGUACUUACAG
rnacentral:lncRNA from 1 species